rnacentral:rRNA from 1 species
GAUGAACGCUGGCGGCGUGCCUAAUACAUGCAAGUCGAGCGAACGGACGAGAAGCUUGCUUCUCUGAUGUUAGCGGCGGACGGGUGAGUAACACGUGGAUAACCUACCUAUAAGACUGGGAUAACUUCGGGAAACCGGAGCUAAUACCGGAUAAUAUUUUGAACCGCAUGGUUCAAAAGUGAAAGACGGUCUUGCUGUCACUUAUAGAUGGAUCCGCGCUGCACUAGCUAGUUGGUAAGGUAACGGCUUACCAAGGCAACGAUGCAUAGCCGACCUGAGAGGGUGAUCGGCCACACUGGAACUGAGACACGGUCCAGACUCCUACGGGAGGCAGCAGUAGGGAAUCUUCCGCAAUGGGCGAAGGCCUGACGGAGCAACGCCGCGUGAGUGAUGAAGGUCUUCGGAUCGUAAAACUCUGUUAUUAGGGAAGAACAUAUGUGUAAGUAACUGUGCACAUCUUGACGGUACCUAAUCAGAAAGCCACGGCUAACUACGUG